GCGGGUGUUGCAUAGUGGUAGUGCUCCAGCUUCCCAAGCUGGCAGUGUGGGUUCGAUUCCCAUCACCCGCUCCA
rnacentral:tRNA from 1 species